rnacentral:rRNA from 1 species
UACAGAGGGGGCAAGCGUUGUUCGGAAUUACUGGGCGUAAAGGGCGCGUAGGCGGCCUGCUAAGUCGAACGUGAAAUCCCCGAGCUCAACUCGGGAACUGCGUCCGAUACUGGCAGGCUUGAAUCCGGGAGAGGGAUGCGGAAUUCCAGGUGUAGCGGUGAAAUGCGUAGAUAUGCGGAGGAACACCGAUGGCGAAGGCAAUCCCCUGGACCUGUACUGACGCUCAUGCACGAAAGCGUGGGGAGCAAACAGG